UGAUGAGUGAAGAGAGAGAGAGAGAGAGAGAGAGAGCUUCGCAGGCGACGAUGGCGAGCGGCGGCGUGGUGAAGAAGGAGAUCGGCGGGAACCACGACGUCGUCCGCUUCGGCGUCAACGACAGCGUCAAGGGGGACCUCGCGCCGCCGCACCCGCUCCAGGCCAGCGUCCACAAGGAGGCCAAGUUCUGGGCGGACAAGAAGAGGUUCGGCGCGGAAGCCAUCUACGGAUCCGCCUUCAACAUCCGCAAGGAUCUUGAUGCCCAAAUCCUCUCCAAGUUCCAAAGGCCCCCUGGUGCAUUGCCGUCAUCUAUGCUAGGAUAUGAGGCACUGACUGGUUCCUUAGAUGAUUUUGGGUUUGAAGAUUAUCUUAACUAAGAAGAAAAAUAAGGAUUCAAGCACCAAGAAGCAGCCGGCGAGGGAGGCCGCUGCUGCGAACAGCGAGUCGAGGGCGAUGGUGGCGGAGAGGGAGAAGGAAUACGACCGGCUGUCUAAGUUCCUCGUGGUCUACCUCAAUGCUAUUUGAGACGCUGCGGCCUCCGAGGAUGGCUGGGUCCUGGGGCGUGGAGCUCUGGAAUUGCUGCUCGGCGGCACCGCCUACACACAAGCGACAAGUGCGCCACAAAUCUCUCUCUCGAUGCAGCAAGUGCAGCGGAGGGAGCUGCAACUGGUCGCCGUUUCUGCCAUGCUGAUAGAUUGCAAGUACGAGGAGAUUUGGGCCCCAGAGGUGAACGACUUCAUCUUCAUAUCAGAUAGUGCAUACACUAGGGAACAGAUUCUUGCAAUGGAGAAGGGGAUUCUGAAUAAGCUUCAGUGGAAUCUCACCAUUCCUACACCAUAUGUCUUCAUUAUGAUGCUAUCUGCGUCUGCAGAUAACAAAAGUGACAAGGAGUACGGGCUGGUGGCAUAUGCCUCUGCUGUCUAUGCAGCCAGGCCCAAUCCUCGUCAUUUCUAUAUAUGAAGAAAUUGCUGGAUCCAUCCUCUCGGCUAACUAGGACGUUGUUCCACUAGAUCUCCAUUAUUCCUAGUGCAGGUUUAUUUGGAUUACAUAAUCCCCUAUCGGUUUAGUUCCCUUUAUUGUUGAACAAUUGGAGAUAAUAUCUUUCACGAUAAUUCGUACCACUGAGCAAAAUUCAAUGAUGCAAUUAUUUUAUAUGCAACUCAUUUGGUGAACAAGAUGUAUCUUGUGGCAAACAACGAGAUGAAAAGUUACUUGAUCCUUCAGGCAUACCUGUGAUUUUCCAAUCUAUUCUUUGCACGUUCUUGGAAAGAUUGGUUGUCCCUGAUAGCUGUCCGUAGUGAUUCAUGGAUACUGUGUGGCAUUUUACUUUGGGGCUCAUUUUGGAUUUGAUAAAGAAGUCAGGUUUGCUCCUAAUUCAAUUUUUUCCCUGUUGAUUUGCACCACCUUUUCUCAAGCCUGUCAUUUUAAUUAUAUAUGCUCUACCACUCUACUAAUUAAUUCUCACUCUGUGUGCAAGGAUGUGUGGUAGUGCAGUCACAUACUUACAUGUUGUGAGUCUAGAUUAUUUUAGUGACACAUAUCAUGAUUUACAAUCUGACAACGAAUCAUUCUAAAAUGAUUUGCUCCAUUAACUGUCUUAAUUAUCACGAACCCAGAUUUGGUUUGUCACAAUAUUAACUCUUGAUAAAUCCUUUCACGUAAAUCAACAGACUACACUUUGUUAAGUCCGCCUCCCAAAGAAAUUUUGCUACCUUCUGUCCACACCUCUAAACAAAACCACCUAUGAUAGCUAAAAAAAUACCAAUCCGAAUUAAGAUAAUAAGUUUAGCCGUCACCAUCUUCUCAAAUUGCUUUUUGCCCACAUAAUUAGUCAGAGUGAUCAGCUGAAUGCUUUUCCCACUCAGCAGUGCUCUAAAAUGUUACUGACAAAUUCAUUUUGCCAAACAAAUUUAGUUCAUUUACAUUCCAGAAAUGUAUAUGUCCUAUCAGUUGAACAUACUUGCAGGGAUUAUUCCUUGAGUCCUUGUCUCCUUGAAGUUAGUUGUUAUUGUGCCAAUGUUGAAAUAUUCAGUAUAUUUGCUGAAUUUUCAUGCUUUAUUGCUCUGCAAACCAUGGUUCCUGAUUUCUACUCUGUGUACUAUUUUGGUUCAGACUGGUUAAAUGUGUUGGAGUACUUCAAUUUUUACUGUUUCAUGAGUUCAAAAUAUAAAUUAAUCAUUCCAGUGAAGCAUCGUACUGUGCUAUUCUGAGUUGUAUGCUGCAAAGGUUAAAUUGUGCCUCCAUCCACUUUCAAACUGAAAUUAUCACGGAAGAAUGUACAGCAAAUAUUCUCUUCACCUAUCUUUUCUGAAGUAGGAAUGUGUCCUAAUCCAGUUUCACUUUUUACCCUGCUGCUCUGAAUAAUCAACAGAAAGAGAUGUUCUACUGCUUUGUACUUCAUCUCUGGCUGCUACUAGCACUCUGAAGAAUCACCCUGAGCUUAUCACCCGUCAUUUCCUCUCUCUCCUUUCUCUCUGUCUUGGUUGAAAUUACAUUUUGAUUGGUUCUUUGACAACUGUGGAGCAGAUUGCCAAGAGAAGGUCAGCUCAUCUGCUGAAGUAUCCUACUGUGACGAUUAUAAGCCCUGGGAUCAGUAACACUAGAGUCCAUUCAAGACUCCAUAAGUAAUGCCAUGGCAGAUGUGCAUAUUUGCUCUUAAUAUAAUAAACACCAGUUGUGUACCUUCGGAUAAUUUAUAUUGCAGUUUGUCAAGAACAUAGCUAAAUUCUAAUUGAGAAAGGAAGUUCUGCAUUGAACGGAUCACAGUUCUUAUGAUUUAGUGUAAAUGAUUCAGUCAGGCCGUGCAUUUUCCAUAGUUCAUUUUCAAAAAAACCUUGUUCUUUAAUGGGUCUAUCUGUAAAUGCAGAGAGCACAUACCUUAUUCAAAUAAUCAAGAUAGAUCAGAUUAUUUUCCUUUUGAUAAAAUUUAUCGAGUUAAAUUCAAGCCAGAUAGACCCACGGGAAGUUUAUAUAUGAUGUGUGUAGUAUGCAUGAAACUUAGGAUGUAGGUUUUCUUAGUAAAGUUACAUCCUACAAAAUAAUGUUCGGAUACACUACACUUUCCACAUUCGCAUACAAUUACUAAUUAAAAAAAGAUGUUAGCACCACAACAGCCCACUGUAUUGUUUGCAAACAAACACUUCAUAGCCACAAUUACUACAGGUGGAAAAAAAAAACUACCUCAUCUUUAUUAACCCCCACCUUCUUGCACAUACUCUGCAUCCACUACUUAUCAAAACUACAACUUUUAGAUUUGUUAACUAUGUCUAUAAAAUACUAUAUCCGUCUAGGAAUGCGCCUUGGAUUCUAUGUAUUAUCAAUGCAAUAUUUAAAACUUAUAAUUACAUUUUUACAACUAUUCAUAUACGAGUUCUAUACACUCAGUGCUAGGUCCUAACAGAAUGCUGAGGCCCUCAAGUUCAAAAGAUUAUCACAGAGCCGGCAACAACUCAUUGAUUGGUCAGUAAAAAUAAAGGUAAAUAAAGAAGCGUAUUCAGUAUUGGAAAACGUGCAAACAAAUACUUAUUAUACAUAUUUUCAAAAAAAAAAGCUAUGAAAAAUUACCAUCUUUCAAGUAAAGCAACAAUUCUUAACUUAAAGAAAAACUUAAAUAUUUAUCGAUAACAGUACAAACCUAAUGUAAAAAAAAGUUAUAAAUCAAUUUAUUCAAAUUUGUGACAACUCUCACGGCACGCCGCGCAACCACAUCUAGUAGUUUAUAUGGGCACUUGACCUCCCUAGUACAAGGAAAUAAUCAUUAUUUCUCCCUAAUUAAGACUUUCCUUGUUGAAAAACUUUCCAAAUCUCUAAUCCUUGAUUGUGUUGUUGCUGCUUGCUGCGCAUGUGCCUGGCUUCCAUCUUUGCUGCUUGCUGCACAUGUCGCCCCACAUGACACCUUCACUCUUCUUAGAGCAGAUACAGUAGCAGACUAUAAGCCAGCUAUAAACAUAUUUGAGGAAGAUAAAAGAGGAGAGAUAAGAGCAGAUAAAAGAGGAGAGAUUAGAGCAGCGGGCUAUUAACACUUCUUUUGUGUUAAUUCCCAUCAAGACUUCUUUUGUGGCUGGCUAUUAACUGUGUUAUGGACUAUGCACAGGUUUCAAAGGAGCAUGGGGGUUUCAUGAGAUUUAUCCAGGUUUCUUGCCUAGGAGCAUCGGCCUCUUCUUCUAGAAUGCUGAGGGCCAAGGCUGCUGGGGAAGAAUCUGUGUUGAAGGAAUUUCCUGAGGCUACAAUUAUGAGGCCUGCAACUAUGAUUGGCACAGAAGAUCGGAUUUUGAACAGAUGGGUACAGUUUGCUAAAAAUUGAUUCCCGGUCUACAAAGAUUCAGCCUGUUUAUGUUGUGGAUGUUGCUGCUGCUAUUGUCAACUCCCUCAAGGAUGAUGGCACCAGCAUGGGAAAGAGCUACGGACUUGGUGGACCAGAGAUUUAUACUGUUCAUGAUCUGGCUGAGCUGAUGUAUGAGACAAUAUGUGAAUGGCCACGGUACAUCGAUGUUCCUCUUCCUAUUGCAAGGGUAUGAACUUAAAUAAUAUCUUGUGUUGGUCAAGGCGAAUGGCCACGGUACAUCGAUGUUCCUCUUCCUGUUGCAAGGGCUAUCGCAUCUCCUGAAAGCUGAUAGAUUGGGAUUUUUUUUUUCAAUACUCUAAGCCUCUAAUGAAAGGUGCAUAUGGACUUUUAUUUUAGAUGUUCUAACUUUGUUUUGUCUCUACCUCUCAAAUUGUUACUAUAUAUGUACUCUUCAACCUGCCGCAUAGGUUGGCACAUGUUUAUAAGGUCAAAUGGAAUAUAUUUCUUGUGUUUUUACUAUCAUUUGGUUUAGUUCUUUCACACAGCAAUGUUGCUAUUUCUAUUGUUGCUUCCCGCCCUGGAAAAAACACGGCUCAAGCCGUGAGGUCUUCAUUUGCUUCUCUUGUGACCAAUUAAUCUGUAGGUUUGGGUCCAAAGUAUGCUUUCGCAACCAAGUGAUGAAAAAAAAAACAAUCUGGUUGGGGAUGUCAAUUGGUUGGUUCAUACAAGAAUAAACCUAUGACAUUCGCAACUUUUUCAAGUGAGGGAUCUGUUUUUUGGUUGCAGCUGACAGUGUCAUCACGUUGUGGGAUCCUGGAGCUAUUCAAGGCAAAAGAAUAAAUAAGAUCCUAUCGUCUUCAACGUGGUGCUAUCAUCCUUGGUCAUCAGGGAAAACUCAGAAGACCAUGAACCACUCCGGCCACUCAUAGAUGAAAAGAAUACUUGUGAUAUACUGGUGUAAUAAUUGUGGAGCGAUGAUUCACAAACAAAGGAUGCUGUAGUUGCUUAAAUGCAUUUAAGUUGCGAGGACAGCAGUCCGAAGAUUUGCCUUCUAGAUGCGAUAUCAGGAUUGUGAAUCAGGUCAAAAGCACUGCACCUGCGAUGGACAGUGGUGGUGAACAGCGUGGCAUUCAUGACAAUAGAGAUAGGCAAUGGCUGAGAUUUAACUUGCUCUUAUACCAAAAUAAUGAAACUCUCCUUCAAUGAUGUAAAAUGAUUGAAGGCAGAAAGUUAAUGCUACACGGGAGCUAGCUAGCUACUACUACUCCAGAAGAUACUGAUUCCUAGCGGGCAUGUGGAGUUGUACUACUAGUUAAUUAAUGGGGCAUGUUCAAUUAAUGUUGGUCGCUGUGUGAAGUGGAUCGGAGUAGUAGUAUUUAUAUGGGCACCCAGCAGGCAGGGGAGGGAUCAAAAUCGAGCGCACACGUACUGUACUUACUGCCAGCCACUAACAAGAGUCAGACAAUGGACUCAAAGAAGGUCGCGUAUGCUGUUUUUAUCGUCAUUCUCCUAAUGACGGAGGUAGCGGCCGCCGCUGCCGCUGGAGGCAGCGCCCGUGGGACUGGUGGUACAGGUGAUCGCGCCAACGAUGAAGAGAAAUUUAUCUUUGGCCAUCUGAGCAAAGCAAUAUUAAUUUACAUAGCCAGUCACUUCCCAGGUCACAUUAAAGAGUGCGUCAACCACGUCGAAAACCAGUGUGGCUGGGCUCCGGCGCCUGGAUGCCUGAAAGAGGCAUUAGCCACAUGCGCCAAAUAAGGCGCCCGCUGCUUCGCUUCCUCUGGCGGUCUGGCCCCUCUCCGCAUAAAUAAUUGUAAUAAGGGGUCCUAGUGAAUAUAUAUAUAUAUAUAUAUGUGGUACUCACUGCAGUGAGUAUGUAUUAUGUACUACUUAUUAUAUAGUAAUAAAAUUUGAAUAAAGUAAUAUUUGAGCCUGCA